rnacentral:snoRNA from 1 species
GUAACUGAAUGAUGAUAUAAUUUGCGAUCUAGGGCUAAUCACUUGGAACACCGCCAUGUUCUAUAUGGGUGAUUAGCGAAGUGCGAAAAAAUUUUUUAUCUGAUAUUUUC